GAUGAACGCUGGCGGCGUGCCUAAUACAUGCAAGUCGAGCGAACAGAUGAGGAGCUUGCUCCUCUGACGUUAGCGGCGGACGGGUGAGUAACACGUGGAUAACCUACCUAUAAGACUGGGAUAACUUCGGGAAACCGGAGCUAAUACCGGAUAAUAUAUUUAACCGCAUGGUUCAAUAGUGAAAGACGGUUUUGCUGUCACUGAUAGAUGGAUCCGCGCCGCAUUAGCUAGUUGGUAAGGUAACGGCUUACCAAGGCAACGAUGCGUAGCCGACCUGAGAGGGUGAUCGGCCACACUGGAACUGAGACACGGUCCAGACUCCUACGGGAGGCAGCAGUAGGGAAUCUUCCGCAAUGGGCGAAAGCCUGACGGAGCAACGCCGCGUGAGUGAUGAAGGUCUUCGGAUCGUAAAACUCUGUUAUUAGGGAAGAACAAAUGUGUAAGUAACUAUGCACGUCUUGACGGUACCUAAUCAGAAAGCCACGGCUAACUACGUG
rnacentral:rRNA from 1 species